CGCCCGGAGCGCGCUCCGGAACGCCAUCCGGAGGGAGUAACGGAGGGUGAGGUCGGUGACGUUCGGGGACAGGCAGGUGUUGCACCCGACGAGGCGGCCGCGGCGGUCGUAGAACAUCGACGGCCGGUAGAACCAGCUCCCGGCGGAGACGACGUCGUAGUCGAACGCGCCGACGUGCGCCGCCCACCCGGCGUCGGGCUCGUCGAGGUGGAGGCUCCACAGGCCGGAGCCGCUCCCCGUCGGGCCGUCGGGGUCCGUCUCGACGGCGCGGACGAGGAACGGCGACCAGAACGCCGCGACGGUGAGGCCGUGCCGCUCGAAGCGGUACGCGUAGCUGCCGUUCGUCCACGGCGCCGGCCGCUCGGCGCGCGACAGGAGGCACACCAGCGAGUCCCCGACGAACGCCACCGACCUGCCCCUCAUCGCGGCGAGGAACCUCGCAGCGUCGAACCGCCGCAUCUCGCACCCGCCGUCCGGCCGCCACCGCCACCGGACGUACCCAAGAUCCGGCCGUCCGUACCGCAUGCAAUCAUAAUGCCCAUGGAUCACCGGACAGCUCUCGCCGGUGUACGGCGGCGGCUCGCGGGCCAUGUCCGGCACCCACUCGCCCUUGAAGAUGUCACAACCAGACGUGUCGCCGCCCACGCCAUCCGCCGUGUUCGUCAUCAGCAGCAGCGGCAGCGGCACGCGGCCGGGUAGGCUGACGGCGGCGAGCACCAGAACGCACGCGGCGACGGCGGCGGCGGGAAGCACAUAGCGUAGGGCGUAAUGAGCAAUGGAUGGCAGCUUGAUCGCCUCGUGAAACUUCAUCGUCGAUGUGGGUGGUCAACGUACGUCCACACUAUAGCUAAGCUCAUGGAGGAUCAGGAGAUCGCUGUAUAUACGUCGAAUUUUUUUCUGCAGUUUUUUUGUCACGAAUAUUCAUUUGAUACGGGAGAUCGCUGUAUAUACGGGACGGGAGAGAUGGAAGGAUGAGCCGGACCUCCUCGUCGCCACGGUGUCAACCUCCCGCCGACGCAGGGGGAGAGGGAGAGGAGCUGGCCGCUGGCACCGCCGCACCGCUGCGUAGGGGAGAGGCGCGGUUUGCGAGAGGAGAAGAGCGAUGCAUGCAAGAGGAUAAGGAAGAUGAGGCACGCAAGGGGAUAAGAGCGUAAAUUUGUUUUCUUUCUCAUGCUCCACGCCCGUCGCCUCGGUUUAAUCAAGUAUCGGUUUUUUUUCAAAAAUCGGCACUCGUACGUACUCAAAGGUGCUAGUUUUCAAUAGAAAUCAACACAUUUCUCUCUGACAGAAGUCAUAGGUACCAGAUUGUAUUAAAGGUGUCGGUUCUACCGGAUGACGCCCCGUAGGCACUAGACACGUGCCGCGGACAGGGGUUUGUAGGUGCCGGUUUUAGUAUUUCUCCAUCACUUUUGUGUAUUUUUGUGGUAGUGUGUAGAGAUGAUCGAUCAGUCAGUGCGCACAAUAUAUCGCCAGAUAAUUUAGGAAGGGAUCAAGAAUAACGUAAGCUAGUUAACCUCGCUCGUGACAAAAUGAGCACAAUAGCAGCCAGCAUUAUCAAGACCCUGGUCGCAAUUAUUUACCCGUGAUACCAGCACUCCUAUCAUUCGAGUCCAAAUCACCAUAUCAACAUGAAAUUUUGGAAGACGAGGCUAAAAAAUCCUACUAAUUACUUGUCCAUUGGGCCGAAGGACAGCUUACACAAGCAAGAUGCGGACCAAUUUAUGCUUGCUUAACUGGCCUGAGUAGGCUGCAGCUAGCCCUGUGGGUUUUGGGCCCUUGUGCGACACAGCGAUUGGUGAAGGCGGCUAUCAGGGCAUUCACAAUGCGCCUCCGUGGCGUUCAGCCUCGGCUUGAGGAACGGCAUAUUCUAUGCCUCGUCGAUUACACUCGGAGCCUCACGAGGAACGCGUAGCAAGUUUUGGUCACCCAUUCUUCCCACUAAAAGCCUGAAAAAGCUGGCGCCAGUGACAGGGAAGAGGGGAGAGAGCAGAAAACUGCGAGCCGUAGCCAUUAACGGCGAGCGCCGACGAGCUGAGGAGAGGGGAGAUGCGACGAGCCGUAGCCGCCGCCCGAGGCUAGACCCGGCGAGCGCCGGACUGGGCUGCUCCGCCGCCGCUCCGCUGGCGCCGACGCCAUCCUCCUCGCCGCGCCGCCAAGCUCGUCACCAUCCUCCUCUCCACGCCGCCGACCUCGUCGCCGUCCGCGCCGCCGAGCUCCACGCCGGUGAGCUCCGUGAGCUCUGCGCCGCCGGAGAGGACGAGCUCCCGCCGUCCCGCUCCACCCCGGUGAGCUCCGCCAGAUCCACGCCGGUGAGCUCCGUGAGCUCCGCACCGCCGGAGCUAGUGAGCUCCGUGCCGUCCCGCUCCACGCAUGCGAGCUCUGCGGAAGGAGGGAGGGAGAGGGGCACCGGCGGACGAAGAGGUGGGGCGCGGCGGCGGCGGCGGCGGCGGCGGCGGCGAGCACGUGAGCCUCGGGUGCUCCUCCCAUCCUCCGCCGGUGGGGGAGAUAGUGGAGAGAGAGAGAGGGGGGGAGAUGAAAAGUGUGUGGGAGUGGGACCCAUGAAAAGUGGGUGGGAGUGGGAGUUGCAUUGUGAGGUGAGUUGCUUUAGAGGAGCUUGGUCCUAUGUGGCAUCACAAAUUCGUUCGUGGCCCAUGACGCAUUGUGAAUGGCCUCAAGCGACUCGGGAAUCAGGACAAGGACGAAGGAGGUGAUUCGCUAUCAAGCGGAGAACCCGAUGCACUGCCUGUAACAUCUACCAUGAUGACAUAGGCAGAGAUCUCAAAUAGCGACAAUACCAAGCAUACCGUUGAACAAACAUAGAGAUAUACGUGCAUUACAAGCAGUCUGGUUGGAAAGAUGUUUUGGAGAAAAAAAAAAGCUUGAAACAAACCAUAGACCGAUACACCUCCAUAAUGAUUUAAGGGUUGGAUAAACAAUGGGAUGCAUAUAAAACUUUCAGCCUAAACAACAAAACAGUGGUCAGGGUACGACUAUGUUCAUCGUCUACAUAAACCAGUAGACGUGGUGGUUCUAUCAUCAACAUUAUAGCUAGGAUCUGACUAUAUCGCUAGUCUACACAUAACUAGUAGGUGUGGCAAUUCCACCACCACCAUAGUAAACAUUAAUGGAAACUCGACAACAACUAGUUGCCGACCACCACCAUCAUUCUCGCCGAUAUAGUCAUAGGCUAGAUUAGGGUUCCAUUGCAUACCUUGUACUCAUGUAAUUGAUAUAGUGAAAAACACUUGACUCCGGCCAAAUAGGACAUAUAGUCAUUACCCAUCUAAGGGGCAUAAACUGUAUAAAACACAUUGUCUGUUGUCUCACGAAUAGUUGCAAGUAGGGCUAUCAAAAAAGCUCGAAGCUCGCAAGCUGCUCGAGCUUGAUUCGUUACAGGCUUGAUUCGAGCUCGGCUCAAAUACUAGACAAGCCAAGCUCAAGCCUAGGCUGAGGCUCGCAAGCCUAGCAAGCUCGAGCUCGAAUAGCUCGGCAAGGCUUGAUUAGCAUAAGAUGUAUUGCAUGUAGGAAGAUAUUCUUGAUGGGUCCAUGUAUACUUGUCAUCGUGCUUGACCUACUCAAGUCUCAAGACCUCAUCGAUGCUUCUCAAUAAAGCAAUUAUCCGGCUGCUAGUAAUAGUACUACUAUUCCUAUUAGAUGUAGUAGCUAGCUUUUGUUAAUUGCAACGUUUUAAAGCCAUGAAUUCAUGAGAAAAGCUGCAGAGGCUUUAUUCAAGAUAAGUAGCACCCAUUAAUUUUGACUACCGAUAAUUUGCAUUAAUAUCUCUUAUACAAGUGUAAGUUUUUUGGAGUUUCACCAAGACAAGCUGUCAAGCUCGAGUAGGCUCGAAGCUCGCUCGAGCUCGAACUCGAGCUCACUCCCAAGCUCGAUCAGUAUCCAGGCUUGGCUCGAGCUCGGCUCGAGUUCAUGUCAAGCUCAAGCCUACGUAGCCAAAUUCGCUCGAGCUCAGCUCGUUGACAGCCUUAGUUGCACGAAUGUCACUCAUUGAUCAAUAGUAAGUUAUUUAUUCAAGAGACUCAAGGCAUGUUCAUUUUGCUACCAUCUUUAACCCUACCAUUGUAUUUUUCAUAUAUAAUCAAUUGGAGUGAGGAAACUCGAAGUAUGGUACUCUGAACAAGAGCAAUAGUAGACAGUGAAUAAAUGAGAUGGGCACAUCAGGUUGCACGCCUGCCCCGGCUAGAAGGUACUACAUUCUCCCAUAGCACUACCCUAAAGAAUCAAGAAAACAGAUAAAUGAAUAGUUCCUUGUACAUAUCUACUAUAUGCUAAUUAAUGAUGAAAGGAGAGGAACCAAUAUACAUCCAGUUCAAGUUACCUAUCUGAACUCUGAAUCAGCCCGUUCAAGUCACUAAUAUUUUGGUUAAAUCGUGAAGAACCCAUUUGUAUUUUUAUAGACUAAUCUUGCUUCUUGGAUACACCUUUAGCCACAUUUUGUGUGUCUCGUGUAGUUCCUAUAGUUUCAAAGGAUCCUGAAAGUGCAUAUCAAGACAUCAGAAAUACCUUCUUGUUGAGCAAGGCAAACCAUACUGCUUUCCUUGAGAAUAUUAAAUCCCAGUAUGUGAAAACUGUCAUGGUUUAAAUUAUUGCACGGCUUAAUUAAAUUCCCGACGCAUUUAACUGUUUUAUUAGUCAUUCCUACAUUUAUGGUCUUAUUAUUUAUAUCCAUGUUUAUCCUUGACAACCCUAGGUAAACAAAAUCAGCUAGUGAAAGUUAUAUAUCUAGUGCUUAGUAGAUAUUUUAGGUUUAUGCUUAGCCAAGCUCAGAACAUAGCAUUUUUAUGCGGGAAUAAUUACUGCAAUUUGAUGAUGGAUCUCAAGUGCCAAGUGCCUCUUAGUCUCGACAAGGUCGCCGAUUAGUUGGGAGAAAAUGCCUUACAAAACCAAAACCUAUUUUCAGGGAGGGCUUAGGUGUACGCUAGUUGUUUCGAAGGAUGCACCUCGGCCACUAAAAGGAUAAAUCUUUCGAUCUGCCAUCGUUAUAAAGCAUAAUUGCUAACUUAUUUGCAAUUAAAUUAGAAGUAGGCAUUGAUAUUUUCUAACAGCAAACCUUCUAACCAUCAACAAGUAUGAAAUGGAUGAUUGGACAGAGUAAAGACACUUGCUUAUAGGAAUGAAUUCAAGCUAACAAAUAAUUUAGAGCAAGUUAUCCAGAAAUGCUGAUCCCAGAGCGUUCGAUGCGAGACCAAACAUCGGACGGUCAAAUAAGGUGGGGACCGCAGUUGAUUGAAUCCACCACAACCUUAUCGUCUCAUUUUCUCCUCAUUGUUUUUGUGCUCAUAGGAAACACAUGAUGACAUCACCAUCGUCGCCGCACCCACCGAGACAUUAAGUGGGAGGAGGUCACCGGUGGCCACGCGGGUGGCGACGGGGCAGCGCGAUGCGAAGAGGAAGGACGGCGCCGGUGACCACGCUGGCGGUGGCGUGGCAUGCUGAGGCGAAAGCGAGGACCGGAAGAGGUGCUAGCCCUCUACCCGUGGCGAAGCAGUGCCAUGCGAAGAAGGAGGCGCUGGACUGGAUGCCGAUGCAGCUAGCCCUGGUGGGGUCGCUCACCUGAAGUCGUUGCUUGCCCUCAUCCUCGUCUACGCAUCAUGUCACUUGUCUCCUCAUGCCAGCUGCUUGGUUUCGGUGGCCGGAAUAGAAGUCAGAGGAGUGGGUUUUAUUGUGAAUUAAAGUGAUGUUACGGUUUAUUUGUAUUUUUUUUACUUGAUUGUAUUAAGGUGUUUUAUUUCGUUUUGAUUCAAUAUUGUAUACAUUGAUUUCUUGGUGUUGCAAUCGAUAUGUUUUAGUAGUGUAUUUAGUUGAAACAACUAUGCUCUAGUGCGGAAACAUUUCUCUUAUUGUGAAACAUCUAGAACACUUUUGUUGCAACAAUUUUUAUCGAAGGGUGAAACAUGUGAACAUCAAUAACACGGUGCAAUACUUUCCAAUGAUUUGAAAAAAAUCAGACAUCCCAUCAAUAGCAGGCUCCCAAGCUAUCUAAACAAUGCUGAUGUAUUUUUUUAAAGAAAAAAAAAUCGACGAGCCAUAAUGAGAAGAACGGGCAUCAGCCAUCACCCGAUGAGCAUGUGGAACAGCAUGUCGUUGCAGGCGUCCAUGGCGCCGGGAAGGCACCAGUGCACGCAGUCCCGCGACACCUUGAACUUGUCCGGCUGCCACAGCCUGUACUUGCUCGGGUGGCCGUCCGGCCGCUGCGCCAUGGCCUCCGUCGCGUCCAUCAGCAGCAUCCUCGCCGCCUCUUUCCCCCUCUUCCCCGCCGUCUCCUCCGCCGCCGCCGCGAACUCCUCGACCUGUAUCCGGUGCAUGUCCUUCUCCAUGGCGUUCAACUCCCACUCGCCGCGCCGCGCCGGCCGAGUCCGGAGGCAGUCCCCGUCCCCGUUCCACGUCCCGUUCUCGUAGUGCGACGGCGAGAUCGUCCGCACGAUCACCGUCCUCCUCGUGGCGUGGCGGUGCGAGCCCGUCGCCGCCGCCCGGAGCGCGCUCCGGAACGCCAUCCGGAGGGAGUAACGGAGGGUGAGGUCGGUGACGUUCGGGGACAGGCAGGUGUUGCACCCGACGAGGCGGCCGCGGCGGUCGUAGAACAUCGACGGCCGGUAGAACCAGCUCCCGGCGGAGACGACGACGUAGUCGAACGCGCCGACGUGCGCCGCCCACCCGGCGUCGGGCUCGUCGAGGUGGAGGCUCCACAGGCCGGAGCCGCUCCCCGUCGGGCCGUCGGGGUCCGUCUCGACGGCGCGGACGAGGAACGGCGACCAGAACGCCGUGACGGUGAGGCCGUGCCGCUCGAAGCGGUACGCGUAGCUGCCGUUCGUCCACGGCGCCG
rnacentral:lncRNA from 1 species